rnacentral:rRNA from 1 species
UAAACUACGAUUAGAUACCCUAUUAUUUUAAAUGUGAAUUAUUUAUACUUGGGUAGUAUUAGAUAUGUUCUUGAAACUCAAAGAAUUUGGCGGUGUUUUAGUCUUUUCAGAGGAACCUGUCCCGUGAUCGAUAGUCCACGUUUUAUUUUACUUAACCUGGUUUUCAGCUUGUAUACCGCCGUCGUCAGAAUGUCCUUUAAGGGGAUUAAUUUUCUAAAUUUUUAAUUGAAAUUGAUGUCAGGUCAAGGUGCAGUUUAUGGUUAAGGGGAGAUGGGUUACAAUAAAUUUAUUUACUACGAAUGAUUAAUGGAAGAAUUAUUUUGAAGGUGGAUUUGAAUGUAAUUUAUUUAAUAAAAUUUGAAUGAUUUUAGCUCUAAAACAUGCACACAUCGCCCGUCGCUCUUA